GGAGAAAAUACACCAAGCAGACAGAAAGAAACCAUUUAAAUAUCAUGGAGCCACAGUCAGGAUUGCACAGGACCUGGCAGCUUCAACAUUAAAGGAUCACAGGGCUUGGAAUAUUCAUGAAGGCCAAGAAGCUUGAAUUACAACCCAUAAUCAACUACCCAGCAAAACUGAUCAUUCUCUUUCAGGGGAAAAGAUGGACAUUCAAUGAAAUAGGGUACUUCCAAGGCUUCCUGAGAAAAAGACCAGAACUGAACAGAAAAUUUGAUCUCCAAAUACAAGACUCAAGAGAAAUAUAAAGAGCCCCCAGUUCUCAGGACUCUGCCUUUUUGUAAGAGAAAAAAAGACAGAAGAGGAGGGAAUAAUGCCAGUGCUCCUGGCGGUCAGGUACCAGGAAUCAGCGACAUUCAAGGAUGUGGCCAUGAACUUUAGCCAGGAGGAGUGGGGACAACUGAACCCUGCUCAGAGGGACCUGUACAGGGACAUGAUGCUGGAGAACUAUAGAAAUCUCAUCUCACUGGGUAAGAGGGGCUUCCACCCUGGGCUCUAGCCUCUGCCCCGUCUUAAGAAAACAUUCCUUUGCUAAAUGGAAGGGAGUACAGAGAAGUGCCUGGAGCUAUUUAUAUUUCACUGUGAUUGUGUCUGAAGUGUGGUCACAUAAAAAAGAUCCUUAGAGAAGCUAUUUUGAAACCUUGCUGUGCUGGGAUCUAGCUGAGGGUGACAAUGAAGUCUUGCUGUUUGCCCAGGGACCAGGGAAAAGCUGGAUGCUAGAGACCUUUCUAAGAGAUCUGAGUGUCCCCAGAAUAAGAAAAAUUAGAGGAGGAGGGAGGGGGUACAAGAAACUCUUGGAUUGAGAAGGGUGGGGGUGAGGGAUCACAUGUUGAGUCAGUAACUGGCAGGGUGGGAAAACAAGGGCAUGGGGCAGAGCUCCUUGGAAUAGCUCAGAGUGAUGGGAGAACAGAACAUCGAGUAGGCAUUGAAGAAGUAAAGCCAAUUCCAUGAACUAUGGGAAAAAACCCAAGAGAAGGAAAAUGGAAUUUCCUAAAUUCAAAGGGAGGGGGACCUCGAACAGGUGGCUACAUUGUCUCUGUAUUUUGCAGGCUAAAUUAUAAGGGGACCUUGACCCUUAAAUAGAGAAGAAACCUUUUAUUCUAAAAUGCAGAUUGGGAUGAAAUAUACAAAGGUAGUGUUUCUCACCACUGGUAACAAAGAUGGGACUAAGGAAAGGAAGGAUAAGUAAUGCAUCCAAGGAAACAAUGUAAUGGAGGCAUAGAGUUAUGGAGGCAACUAGAGGAGAGGGUAACUUAUGGGAGCCUCUUCCAUUCUUAUCAAAUAUUUUAACACUCCAAGUCUUAAAGGAGUAGGUACUCUCAGGAUUUUCUAGGCAUUGGACAUUAGAAGACCUGGAAGCUGAACCCCACAAUAUAAAGGCAUAAUUUUGUUUGAGAGAGAAAAAUUUAGUAGAGCUAUCCAAGUACGUGGACUACAAGGGGAAAUUAUUCACUCGGUAAAAAACAUGCUAUGUGUCUUUUUAAGGAUCAUCAAGCACACACAGAGUAAUAGUGUAUAAAACUCAGAAAUAUGACUCAUAGAAUGAACCCCCAAUUAAAAGAAAUGGUACAUUCUCCUUCCUUCUUCCUCUUUUCUCUACUAGUGUAUUACUUUUGCCCUUCUUUUUUGUUUCUCUUCUUCAAACCCUCAGAAAAGUACCACUUUACUCCUCCUCUGCCCCCAGGUCCUCAGUUUUUCAUAAUUAACUUGCUUAAUACCUUUCGAAGAACUAAAGGUUCUGAAGGAACAUUUGUUUCUUCUCUUCCUGUUAUAAUGUUAGCACUUCAUCAUCACACAGCCCCUUCCAGUUUCUCAAAUUAAUUUACUUUCUCUUGUCUUGUGUAUGCAUUUUAAAGUACCAUUAAACUCUUCUUUUUAUCAGGAAUGCUGAAAACUUCUGUUUCAACAUUAAAGGUUAAUUUUUUCCCCCUGUAGGAUUAUACUCACCCUUUCACACUAAGUUACUCUUGGUUAUAUAUCUAUAUAUUUUGCCUUUUGAAAUAUUAUUUUCCAAGAUUUUUCAUUUAUAGUAGAAGUGUCUAGGUUUUGUCUGAUCCUGACUGUGGUUUCUUGGUACUUCCAGAUGCUUACAGUAUUUUUUCUUUGAUGUAGAAGCUCUUGAUAUUGGUUAUGAAAUUCCUGGGACUUUACUUUUGUGUAUUUCUUUCAGGAGAAGUUAUCAAUGGAUUCUUUCUCUUUUUUCUUUGCUUAUGGAACAGUUAUAUUUUGUUCAUUAUGUUCCUGUUCUGCAAUUUGUGUUAACCAUUCCCUAAUUGAUUGGUCUCUUUGGAUUAUUUCACCAUUAUUUGGUCUAGUAUGUUUUUUAACUUUUUGCUGGAAUAGAUGUGUGAAAGCUGAGCUAUUUACCUCUGUUCUGACUGAGUCUUCCACACUAUAUCACUCCUAUAUAAUGACAAUAAAAUUCCUUUUUUUUAGACUUUAUGGCCAGAACUCUAUUGUCUUUCUUUAAAAUAUUUUUAAUUGUUUUGCAGUCUUUUGUUUUCAUAUCACCUUCAUUUCCCAACAUAUCCCUCCCACUUCCCCAUCCAUCGAGUUAUCCCUUUUAGCAAAGAAUAAAAAAGAAGAGAAAAAUGCAGUUUAGCAAAACUAACCAGCGCACUGAGUCUGAAAGUAAAUUCAGUCUUCCAUUCCAGGAGUCUGUCACCUCUUCAGAGAAGGGAAGGAGGUACAUUUUCAUAUCUCAUCUUCAGGGCCAAGUUUGUUCAUUAUAAUUAUGUAUAGCCUUCAGUUCUGAUGUUUUUGGUUUUUUGAAUUUCCAUUGUUUUCUUUGUGUAUGUUACCCUGGUUCUAUUUACUUUACAUGUCAUCAAUUUAUAUAAGUUCUUGUUCUUCUCUCUAUUCUGUGGUAAAAAGUGAAAGCUUUUAGAGUAGAUUAGCGAGGACGCCAGUUUUUGAAGGACCACCCUUUUGGGGAGGAGACCUUGACGAACAGCCAUACAUCUGCUAAGCACUCCACUUCCAGGGUACGAUUAAAGGCAAGGAGAGAAUGGAAGUGGUGCCUUUUCUCUCCUCACCCGCUCGCUGGCUCUGCACGCACACACGCUGACUCAGGUUCGACAGCGUGGUCCUUGGUGAUUGGCCUGGUCCUCUGUAAUAGCACGUGCUUGACGUGGUUCUCAGCCUCAGAGGUGGC